UCUAUAUUAUAAAGCCUGUUGUUUUUUUAGGCUCCAAAUGACCAUUUGACCCAUAUGUAUUCACUGUAUUUUCAAAAGCAGCUCUGUACAAUACCCGUAUGUAUACGUACGUGCAAUCUAAACCAUUCUUUCUCUUACCAAACUUCCACGCGUCGCUCAUCCCUCCCAGAUUCUCUUACCCCAAAUCAUCUUCCUACAUUCAAAUUUUUCAAAAUUAAUACGACUGUUGCAGUUUUUCAGAUGUAUUUGCUUCAGCUGUAAUAGAUGGAUUCUCUUGAAAAGGCUCCUCUCAAGUCACCGGCACCGAAAUUGGAUUAUUAUUGAGGGUCGAAGUUGGUUGUCUAAUUGGAGAUUGAAAAUCAAAAAUGGGUAACAAUUUUGGCAUGUUAAUUUUACAAGGUUCUUACAUAGAAGUUAAUGGCAGGGAUGGUUCUAGAGGAUGGAUGGUCAUCUAUAAGCUCAACGCUUCAGUUUUUCUCCCUAAUGUCUCUUUUACCUGGCAUUGGAUCACCUUAUCCAUGGCUCAGAGAAAUGAAAUUAGAAAAAAUAGAUUGUUGGGAAGAAAUAUGUAAGACUCUAUCCUACUUCGUUGUCAGAGGAAUUUUGCCUACAUUCUGAAUCAAUACGAUGCAAUUCUAGCAAGAAAAGUAGCAAUCUGCAAGAUGAUAAGACGCCAAUAAGAUCUGGGACUGAAUGAUUGGAGUUCUGGCAGUGAAUCUGAUUACCAUGUCAUUUUUACUUGAUGAAAUCAAGAAAUCAAGGCCAAGCUUUGGAGUGAUACAACCUUUCAGAAGAGUAAUCUUUCUAGGGAUAAGACUCUAAAUGGAUGCAACAAGCCAGAAGUCGAGAAAUGGAGUUGUUAUUGCAUUGGUCUUGCUCACUAGGAACAUUGGUGGCUACAGAGUGGCUGAGAUGGCUGAUGCUUCUAGAGCCGUGAAACAAUGGGGAAAUCAAUUUAAUUUCUUACACGUCUCAGUUCCAGAAAUAAAUGGAAUCAGACGUUCUAACCCGAUUCAGUUUGUUCACAAGGCAUAGGAAAUCAUCAAGAGAAAGAGAGAAUAUGCAGCUGUUUUUCUCACUAGCAGAAUAUCAAAGACAAUGAGGAUAUAGAGGCCAUGAGAUAUGCACACAAAAGAGUAGCAAUAAAGACUUCUGAAUUUACACCAUUUUGUUGUAUUACAAAAAAUGAUCUAGCAUUUUUAUUGUUUCAACAAUGCUGUAUUUUGUGAAUUAGACCAUGGCUCAGUACAUUCAUAACAUGCUGAACAACUCGAGCAUGACUAUAUAUCAUAUAUGAUCAGACCACUGGAACAAAUGUUGUUAGCUGAUCAUUUGGUCAAGGGAUUUAUUUCAUGGUAGUUAGGUUCAGCAGGAUAGUAGUGUGUACACUAUAAAAGCUUCAUUAGAAAGUUGCAUAAGGCUCAACACCAGUUUUGGUCUGAAUGCACACUGGCAUUUAACAAGUAAGAAGACAUUGCAACCUACACUAUAAAAGCUGUAGAUGACCCGAGGACAUUACACUUUCUUUCAAUGAUGUUCUGUCUUUGUGGGAAGAAAAAGAUAGGCAAAACUCUUGAGAAGAUAUAUGUUCCAGAAGAGCAAUGCCUGAAGAACAUUGAUGGUGAGGAAUUAUUUAAAUUUUUUUGCUUCACAUUAUUAUAAUAAUUGACCGGGGCAAGUCCUGAAGAACAUUGAAGAAUCCCCCAAAUCCGAUCAAUGUGCUGCUAUUUAUCAGUCAUUCUACAUUUAUGAAGGGAGAUUGAACCAGCUUUGAGAUUGAACCUUCAUUUGGUGUGGAGGUUUGAGCACUUUAUCCUAUGUCAAAUACACAACUGUGGACGAGUAUCUCAAAAAAUUUGUCUAUCCCAAAUCUAUUUUGUCUGCUACAUUAAGCAUAAUACUACCUUUGUACUGAACUUAUAUAGUUUUUCUACCUGUGAUAUGUCGAAUACUUCAUUAGUUUGGGUUCGUUUCUUGCGACCGUUUAACACAGCAGAGCUUUAGAGUAUGCCCUUUUGUUGAAUAAAAUUAUGAUUAUGGGAUUGUUUUUCCGCCAAUGCUUAGUACUAUAUAAUUGGUUGUUGUGGUGAGCUUCUGCAGCAUGCAUGAAGUUCUUAUUCAUGAUAUUAUUGCACUUAUUUCUUUUUUUAUUUUGGUCAUAUAAGCUUUGUUUCUUCGU